rnacentral:rRNA from 1 species
GAUGAACGCUAGCUACAGGCUUAACACAUGCAAGUCGAGGGGUAACGAGAGGAAAGCUUGCUUUCCUUGUCGACGACCGGCGCACGGGUGAGUAACGCGUAUCCAACCUGCCCCCAACUAAGGAAUAACCUUGCGAAAGUAAGACUAAUACCUUAUAAUUUCCUCAGAUGUCAUCUGACGAGGAAUAAAGAUUUAUCGGUUGUGGAUGGGGAUGCGUCUGAUUAGCUUGUUGGCGGGGUAACGGCCCACCAAGGCAACUAUCAGUAGGGGUUCUGAGAGGAAGGUCCCCCACAUUGGACCUGAGACACGGUCAAAACUCCUACGGGAGGCAGCAGUGAGGAAUAUUGGUCAAUGGGCGAAAGCUUGAACCAGCCAAGUAGCGUGCAGGAUGACGGCCCUAUGGGUUGUAAACUGCUUUUAUACAGGAAUAAAGUUAGCCACGUGUGGUUAUUUGUAGGUACUGUAUGAAUAAGGACCGGCUAAUUCCGUGCCAGCCGCCGCGGUAA